AAAGCUGUGUGGUAAGGGCCCGAAGUACGGCAAGCAAAAAAAAGAUGCUAUUUCAGAACACAGCUUCCACAAGAAGCAGCACCUGGUGUUGGAACUCAACAAAAUGCACUUUAAAGGCAGAUAAAAUGUCACGGCAAGAUCAGCUCAGAGACUGCCAGAUCUUAACGUGACGAAGCAGACAAGAAUGGGGAAGGAAGAGCCCUAACCGACACAGCUGGAGGUACCAACGCUUCCCCUCCACCUGCGAAGGAGGCUGCUGUCUGCCGGCCAUCUUGCGUGCGGAACCUUACCUCCGCAGCAGUAGGGUCCCAUGCUCCAGGCCUACCAGUAACUAUGCUGAGUAAUUAAGGUCCAGUCAUCCACGCAGCUGGCUAUGAACACUGGUCCCAAAAUAUCUGUCUGCAGAAGUCAUCGUCAUUGGAGACAGAAUCUAUGGAAUUCAUCAGGAAUCACCAAGAAAACACCAAAUUACAUAAAUCUUAAUAUCUUUUUGUUUUCAUAUGCUUUAAAAGAGGUACAUUUCAAAAUUUGUAACUGAAAAAAGGGGCCCAGAUACCAACCUUCUCAAAGUAGAUUGAAAGACUUGUAUUAAUUUCAA